rfam:Picea glauca, whole genome shotgun sequence.
GAUUUCUGCUCAGUGCUUUGAAUGUCAAAGUGAAGAAAUUCAACCAAGCGUGGGUAAACAGCGGGAGUAACUAUGACUCUCUUAAGGUAGCCAAAUGCCUCGUUAUCUAAUUAGUGACGCACAUGAAUGGAU